rnacentral:rRNA from 1 species
AGUGGACGCUGGCGGUAGGCCUAACACAUGCAAGUCGAACGGCAGCACAGUAAGAGCUUGCUCUUACGGGUGGCGAGUGGCGGACGGGUGAGGAAUACAUCGGAAUCUACUUUUUCGUGGGGGAUAACGUAGGGAAACUUACGCUAAUACCGCAUACGACCUACGGGUGAAAGCAGGGGAUCUUCGGACCUUGCGCGAUUGAAUGAGCCGAUGUCGGAUUAGCUAGUUGGCGGGGUAAAGGCCCACCAAGGCGACGAUCCGUAGCUGGUCUGAGAGGAUGAUCAGCCACACUGGAACUGAGACACGGUCCAGACUCCUACGGGAGGCAGCAGUGGGGAAUAUUGGACAAUGGGCGCAAGCCUGAUCCAGCCAUACCGCGUGGGUGAAGAAGGCCUUCGGGUUGUAAAGCCCUUUUGUUGGGAAAGAAAAGCAGCAGGUUAACACCCCGCUGUUCUGACGGUACCCAAAGAAUAAGCACCGGCUAACUUCGUG